rnacentral:rRNA from 1 species
UACGUAGGGGGCGAGCGUUGUUCGGAAUUACUGGGCGUAAAGGGCGCGUGGGCGGCCUGCUAAGUCGAACGUGAAAUCCCUGGGCUCAACCCAGGAACUGCGUCCGAUACUGGUUGGCUUGAAUCCGGGAGAGGGAUGUGGAAUUCCAGGUGUAGCGGUGAAAUGCGUAGAUAUCUGGAGGAACACCGGUGGCGAAGGCGACAUCCUGGACCGGUAUUGACGCUGAGGCGCGAAAGCUAGGGGAGCAAACGGG